rnacentral:lncRNA from 1 species
AAAUGCUUACAGAUCCUCCAAAGGGUUAUGUGUCCUUUGAGUAUGGUUACAUGGCCAUUUUCUUCUCAAGAGGAGUGGGAGCUCAUUGAGGAGACCGAGAGGCUCCUGUAAGGUGAUGUGAUGCUGGAGAACAUUGCACUUAGAGCAUUCCUGGGGCUUGUAUCAUGCAGGUCCCACGUAGUUGCAGAGCUGCGAUUGGGAGUUAGCCCUGGUUGCUUCACAGAGUGGACAUAUCAAGAUACUCUCAGAGGAGGCCUGCCCCUGGUUGUUGGUGUAACAGAGGAUCAGCAGAGUGUUUCUGUAGGAGCGUCACUGGUCAAGAUACCCAGGGCAGGUCCACCCAGAAGAGUCACCCCUGUGAGAUGUGUGUCCCAGUCUUGAAAGACAUUUUGCACCUGGUCAAGCUCUAAGCCACACACUCUGAGCAGAAAUCUUACCUGGAUGGGGGCUCCAGAAGCUUCUGGUUCAGUGGAAACCUUCACCAGCUCCAGAAACAUGAUGGGGAGAAGCUCAUUAAAAUAGGCAUCUCCGGGUCCUUGCUUGUAACAAGCUGCAGAUUUCAUGUGUCAGGGAAGCGCUUCACCUGUGGGGAGGUUGGGUAGGACUUUCCAGCCACCCUCAGCCCUUCUCUAGCACCAUGCCACUCCCAAAAAUGAGAAGCCACACAACAGCAUCAAAGGUGGGGAGCCCUUUAACAGUAGAUAAAAAUCAUGACAAGUGGGGUGAAUGCAGGAAAUUUUUCACCGUCGCAUUCUUCACUACCACAAAGUCUGCACUGGACAAGGUCUUGAUGAGUGUAGCAAAUGUCGGAAAGCCUUUGGCUACAAAUACGGACUUUUUCAGCACCAGUGAAUUAACAUGGAAGAAAGGUAGUGAAGUUGAGUGUAGUGCAUGAGAAAUUCUUUAGCUGAAAAACCCCACCUGAUUAGACACUAGAGAGGUCACACUGAAGCAAACUCUUAUAGGCACACUGAAGGUGGAAAAUCUGCCCUCAUUUAACACCAAAGAGUUCACAGUGGAGAAAGGUCAUUUGAGUGAAGUGAAUAUGGGAAAUCCUUUUGCCAAAGCUCUGACCUCUUUCAGAACAGGAGGGCUCACACUAAAGCAAGUUCGUGUGGAUGCAGUGAAUGUGGGAAAUUAUUUAUUUCAAAACCCACCUUGUUCGACACCAAAGAGUUCACAAUGGAAUGCAGUGAUUAUGGGAAAUCCUUUAGCCAAAGCUCUGGUCUCUUUUGAUACAGAAGGGUUCAUUUGCAAUGAAUAUGGGAAAUACUUUUGCUGCAAAUCUGACCUCAUUUAACACUUCAGAGUUCAUAUAG